UGGGGAAUAUUGCACAAUGGGCGCAAGCCUGAUGCAGCCAUGCCGCGUGUAUGAAGAAGGCCUUCGGGUUGUAAAGUACUUUCAGCGGGGAGGAAGGGAGUAAAGUUAAUACCUUUGCUCAUUGACGUUACCCGCAGAAGAAGCACCGGCUAACUCCGUGCCAGCAGCCGCGGUAAUACGGAGGGUGCAAGCGUUAAUCGGAAUUACUGGGCGUAAAGCGCACGCAGGGGGUUUGUUAAGUCAGAUGUGAAAUCCCCGGGCUCAACCUGGGAACAGCAUCUGAUACUGGAAAGCUUGAGUCUAGUAGAGGGGGGUAGAAUUCCAGGUGUAGCGGUGAAAUGCGUAGAGAUAUGGAGGAAUACCGGUGGCGAAGGCGGCCACCUGGACGAAGACUGACGAUCAGGUGCGAAAGCGUGGGGAGCAAACAGG
rnacentral:rRNA from 1 species